CGGAGGAGAAGAAAAGAAAAAAGGAAAAAAAAAGGGAUUAUUUCUCAUUAAUCCAGCCGUUAACCCGGGGUCCACGACUUUUAAUCUGUGCCCUCGCUCAUGACUUCUUGAGAUCCCCCAUUCUCCAUCUCAAAAUCUAAUUUCGAUAGCACCUUGGGCAUUUCAAAUUCAGCUAGAGCAUUUUUUUCGUAAUCUUUGUAACUUUUUCUGUUUUUUCUUCUGUAAUGGUGCUUUAUUUUUUUGUUCAAUCUUGUAGCUUUGCCUGUAAUAUUAAGUGUAUCACAUUUUCAAUAUAACGACUGGUUCGAAGAUCAGAUAUGCGGAGUUUCAGUCGGGUCGCUGUUUUUUCCAUUUUUAUCCUUCUUUUUGCAUCUGGGACCUCCUCGAUUGAUAAUCUUCAUCAGGCUUUUCCUAUUAUAGUACCCGAUCCUGGUCACACAAAACUCCGCCUUUCGAGAGAAGGUUUGGAGGCAAUUGAGAGAAUAACGACUCCUAUUGCUGCUGUCGCAGUUAUUGGUCCAUAUCGUUCAGGAAAAUCUUUUCUGCUCAAUCAACUUCUCUCCCUCUCAUGUUAUGAAGGUUUUGGUGUAGGGCACAUGCGUGAUACCAAGACAAAAGGAAUAUGGGUAUGGGGAGCUCCACUAGAAUUGGAUAUAGAUGGAGUAAAAACUUCUGUCUUCUAUCUUGAUACGGAGGGAUUUGAAAGUAUUGGGAAAUCAAACGUAUAUGAUGACAGGAUUUUCGCCCUGGCCACUGUCAUGAGUUCUGUGCUUAUUUAUAACCUACCUGAGACGAUCCGUGAAGCAGAUAUAUCACGGUUAUCAUUUGCAGUUGAGCUUGCUGAAGAAUUCUAUGGCAGAGUGAAGGGGCAAGAUGUAGCUUUUGAACCUGCUAAGCUCCUCUGGCUCAUCCAGCGUGAUUUCCUACAAGGAAAAUCUGUGCAAGAAAUGAUAGAUGAGGCUCUCCGACAUGUCCCAAAUGCUGAUGGGGACAAGAAUAUUGAUCAGGUCAACCAGAUCCGUGAUUCUUUGGCAAUCAUGGGAACAAAUAGCACUGCCUUUAGCUUGCCACAGCCUCAUCUCCUGCGCACAAAGCUUUGUGACAUGAAGGAUGAUGAGCUCGAUCCAAUUUACAUACAGAAGAGGGAGAGAUUGAAAGAAAUUGUUGCUUCCAUCAUCCGUCCAAAGAUUGUCCAGGGUAAACUUCUCACUGGGAAGGAGUUUGUAUCAUUUUUGGAGCAGAUUCUUGAAGCCCUAAACAAAGGGGAGAUUCCAUCAACAGGCUCCCUUGUGGAGGUCUUUAAUAAGGGAAUUCUUGAUCGCUGCCUGAAACUUUACAGUGAUCGUAUAGGUAAGAUUGGUUUACCAACAUCCGUGGAGUCUCUACAGAAAGCUCAUGAAGGUUCCAAAGAAGCGGCCGUGAAAGUUUUUGAUGAUCAACAUUUUGGUCGUCACCAUGCCAAGAAAUCUGCUGAGAAAUUGGUUGAAGAAAUGGAGAAGGUAUACAAGAAUUACAUGUUGGCAAAUGAAUAUCAAUCUUCAAAACUGUGUGAGGCUUUAUAUACAAAAUGCGAGGACAAUAUGGACCAGCUUCAAGUCCUUAGACUUCCAUCUAUGGCUAAAUUUAAUGCUGGGUUUCUGCAUUGCAACCAAAGCUUCGAAAAGGAAUGUAUUGGACCUUCGAAAACUAGCUAUGAGCAUAGAAUGAUGAAGAUGUUGGGGAAGUCAAAAUCCCUAUUCAUCAAAGAAUACAACCACAGGCUUUUUAAUUGGUUGGUGGCCUUUUCACUCGUCAUGGUGGUACUAGGCCGGUUUAUAAUAAAGUUUAUUUUGAUAGAGAUUGGAGCAUGGAUACUAUUUAUAUUCUUAGAGACCUACACGCGCAUGUUUUGGUCAGCAGAAUCUCUUUAUUACAACCCAGUAUGGCAUGUUAUUGUCACGACUUGGGAAACCCUCGUAUACAGCCCCAUCCUUGAUUUGGACAGAUGGGCGAUUCCUCUUGCCAUUAUAGUUGCAAUAUUGGUCGUUUACUGGCGAUGCUAUGGAAGGAGGAAACAUGGUUCUCAUUGGCUGUUACCUAUGUAUAAUAAUCAGAAAGAUCGACGGAGAUCAGAAUGAUCAAGACAUGAAUUACAUCGAACCAUAUACCGCUCCUUUCAUUCAAUCUUGGUGGGCUUCUAUUUUUAUGCCCAAGGCACGCUGGAUUAGUGUGAAUUAUCAGCUCUUAAACCCCAAAAAUGGGAAGAUUCAAAGGUCUCAGAGAGAUGUGCAUGGUGUUGUGACAAUUACAGUGGAAAAUAGCUGCUGAAUUUCGCAAUCUAUUUGGGGGUGUCGGUGGGACAUGGGAGCCUCAGCUCAUGCAUCGGUUUACAGAAAUCCAUCUGGCAUGAAUUCCAUGCAUUUCUAGUAUAGUGGAGGUGAGAGCCACCAAGACGAAGGAAGAUAGGGAAGUACGUAGGUCGAGGACCAAAAGGAGAAAUUUGUGUUGUAUACAUUUGAAAAUAUCAAUCAUACACAGUAAAAUACAGUUAUUUAGGUAA